GCUUGGAUAGUUCAGUUGGUAGAGAAUGAAUGAGACUCUUAAUCUCAGGGGUUGUGGGUUCAAGCACCACAUCUGGCA